UCGCCGGGAUCUCCGCGCCGCUACCUCCUCUUCCGUCGCCCUCCUCCCACCCCUCCACCUCCUUCCCCCGCCCCCUUUGCGGCGAAGAGGAGAGGGCCCCCCGGCCGCCGCCCUCUCUCCCCGCCCCUGGGGCUGCACGUCAGUGGGCCGGCGGCCCAGGCCUCGGCAGAGCCCGCCGCGGACGGCGCCCAGCCCGGCGGGCGAACGGGCGCCGGAGUCCUGCCUCGGCGCACGCCGACUGCUGCUGCGCCCGCGGCAGUUGCCACCACCGCGGAGGCUUCAGGAGCUCUCGCUCUCUCUCUCCCUCCAAUCUCUCUCUUCUCUUUUUCCUUUUUUUUUUUUAAUUUUUUUUUUUUUUUUUAAGUUCUGAGCUCGCAGCACUUGGGCUGAGCCGGCGAGAUCUCGCGAGAUGCUGCAGGGCUACAGGGCCGCUUCACCUCAGGCGUGUGGUACCCGAGGCGGUGCUAAAGCUGCCGGUCGCCCCCCGCUCCGGUGGGUGCUGCCGGGGAUUUUCCCGUCGGGCCCGCAGGUGCUUCCGGAGUUGCCGGCGAGGUGCGCCCCCGGGCGAGGUCGGCUCGCGGCUCCGGCCGGCCGCGACUGCCCGCCCUUACUCGAGGCCUGAGCCUAGGGGGAGGCAGGAUUUCCUCUGAGCCGCCUUUGAAGCGGUCGACUCCCCGCCUGGCCGCGUUAGAUUUGCAUAACCAGAAACACUCCCGUGGAGAUGCAGUGGGUGUGUCCACACUUCGAUGACACCUGUAUUUUAAAAGCUGUGAUGUUUGAAGGUCAUGAUAACCUGUGAUUCCAAUUAAAGAUUUUUAAAAAGAGAAGAGUUCAGCCCUUCAAGUAUUGGUUUGCACUCCUUAAGCCAGAGACCGAGAAACCUUGGACUUGGGGGAGGAUUUGCCUUGGACCUCCAGGGGACACCGGCUUGGAUUUUCAUAGGGAAUUCGCAACGUGAACGCUCUACAGCGCCCUGUGCACCAGGAUGUGAGGUGACUUAGCAAGCAGCUGGUUAGCACCAAACAAGUAUCUUGCCGGAGCUUCUGAAAAGGACCUUUGUGUGCGCAGCGCAAAAGCAUCAGGAAGCGUCUACGUGGAAACAGAGGUUCAGUGCGCGGUGAAAGAUACCGGGAAGUUGGAGGACAGCAAAGAGGAAAGGAAAAGGAAAGCCUUAUUGUCAAGAUAAAAUUAAGACAAGGGCUUGCAGCUGUGAAUUGUGCAAGACUGUUGAAUCUCAGAUCUGUACCUCUGAAACAAAUAAUGCAAUAUAUGUUAAGAAAAAAAGAAGAAGAAGAAGAAGAAGGUAGCGGGAGGGGAAGAAUGAAGCGGGGGAAAUCGGAGGGGUAGACGAACCAUGAGAGACGAUGGACUCUGAAAAACAAACUGAGGGUUCUAGAGGGGAGGGGGUGGGAGGAUGGGUUAGCCUGGUGGUGGGUAUUAAAGAGGGCACGUAUUGAAUGGAGCACUGGGUGUUGUGCACAGACGAUGAAUCAUGGAACACUUCAUCUAGAACUAGUGUUGUAAUGUAUGGGGAUUAACAUAAGAAUAAAAAAAAAUUAAAAAAUAAAAUAAAAAAGACAAGGGCUUGCAAAUGGCCCAUUUCCCUCAGGUUUUGUGUUCAAGGUUUUCCUUUUUUUUUUUUUCCUUACGUAUUCCUUCCUCUCUCUUUAAGAAACAUGAAAACAGUCACAUUAGUAUGUAUUCCCAAAGAGCCUCUUCAGUCUUGAGGUCCCUGGCAGGGUUUAUGUUUGAAAGGCAAGCCGUAGGCAGCACUCAUAGCUGAAGCCCUGCAUGCUCUCUGAGGGACGGUGAGGCGGGAGCAUUGCUGAUUUGUACCCUUGAUCCGAUACCGGGUACUUUACUGGUGUAAUCCCCACCCACCAAUGAAUUAAUUGGUGUACUUUGUCCUUUUUGCUAGGUUCUUUCAAUCCCUCCGCUUGUUUACCCGAACGUAUUUCCCCUCAGCCUGGAUAAGUUGGAUAGAAGUUGCCGAUUGCCCUGGGGAAACGAAGAUGUUUCAGAAGCUGAAUAACAAGUAGCAUAUUCUUAUUUCUUACGUUGGAAAACUGCUGAUCUUGAUGGCAAAUGGAGAAAUUCACAAUCACCCAUGUAGAACCAACCCGUUUCUCUUGAGACCGGGUCCGGGUGAAUGCAGACAUGAAGGAACCCCUUUUAAGCGCGCAGUUUGGAAAAUAGACACUGAGAACCAGGAUUUGGACCAGGAAACAGCAAAUCUCAGGGCAAUGUCCCCUCCCCCCCGCAACCAUGCCAUUUUGAUGUGAGAACUGGCAGGUAUCCAUGAGGACUGGAGGCACAGUGGCUCUAGGCAGGAGUGGGGGUGGAGAGAGCUAGCUCUAUGUGCGGUUGAAGUUGUGGGCCAGGGCACUCAAAUUCUCCCAAGUCUCUAGAGCAGGUCACUGAUGUAAGUGGAGGGGAGCCUCUGGCCUCUGUAGGUACUGUGGCUGGAAUGAGGGGUUCUAUCACUACCACAUGUUAGCAGAUAGAUACCAGGAUGCUACGUGAAAGCCAGGUCAACAUCUGCAGCCCCUCCAAGCACCAUUGAAAUAAGAUUGGGGGACGCCUGGGUGGCUCGGUUGGUUAAGCAACUGCCUUCGGCUCAGGUCAUGAUCCUGGAGUCCCGGGAUCGAGUCCCGCAUCGGGCUCCCUGCUCGGCAGGGAGUCUGCUUCUCCCUCUGACCCUCCCCCCUCUCAUGCUCUCUCUCUCUCAUUCUCUCUCUCAGAUAAAUAAAUAAAAAUAUUUAUUUAAAAAAAAAAAAGAAGAUAGGAUGAGCCACCCAUGGAGUGGGCAGCCAGCCUGGAUGGGGCCUGACACCGAAGCAGAAGCCUAUUGCCCGCUGCCACGGGGGGGUGCCCUCUGCUCCCGUCCUCUCAGAACUUAUUAGCAUCUCUGCCAGGGGGAGGAUAAAGAGGAAACCAUCCAGAACAGACUGAGGUUGUUUCCUAUUAGACUUUUUAUUUGAGAUAAUUGAAGAUUCACAUGCUGUUGGAAGAAAUAAUACAGAGAGAUCUUGAAUAUCCUGUAUGCAACCUCUCUAAUGGUAACAGCUUGCAAAAUCAGUAUAAUGUCACAAGCAGGACAUUGACCUUGUUACCGCCAAGGUGCAGAACAUUUGCAUCACCAUAAGGAUCUUCAUGUUGCCCUUUUAUAACCAUACCUACUUUCCUCCCCAAUCCUUAACAUCUGGCCACCACUGAUCUGUUCUUUACUUCUAUAAUUUUGCUAUUUUGAGGAAGUCUGUAUUUCUCUGUCACCUUUGAAGAAUAAUGUUGCUGAUAUAAAAUGCUAGGUUGGUGACUUUUUUCUUUCAAUAGUUUAAAUAUUUCACUCCACUCUCAUCUUGCUUGUGUGGUUUCUGAUGAGGAGCCCAGUGUAAUUCUUAUUCUUGUUCCUCUCUCAGUAAGGUGGUUUUUUUUUCCAUCUAGGUUCAUUCAAGAUUUUCUUUGUCUGCUUUUUGCUGUUUGAAUAUGAUAUGCAUAUGCAUGGGUGUGUGUGUGUGUGUGUGUGUGUGUGUUACAUUUAUCUUGCUUGGCAUACUCUGACCUUCCCGGAUUUGUGAUACAGUGUCUUUCAUUAAUUUUGGAAAGUUCUUGGCCAUUGUUACCUCAAGUAUUUACAAGUUAUUGAGCUAUUCCAGUUCCUUUCCAUUUAUGUAUUUUAGAACAAUCUUCUCUAUGUAUCCAAAAAGUCCUCCUGAGAUUUGAUCAAAAUUGCAGUAAACCUAUAUAUCAUUUUGGGGAGAUUUGAUGUCUUUACUAUGUUGAGUCUUCCAAUCCAUAAACACAAUGUGUCUCUCCAUUUAUUUGUCUUCUUUAAUUCCUUUAACUAGUAUUUAGUUUUCAGUGCACAAGUCCUAUACAUGUUUUCUUAGAUUUACAUGUAGAAAUUUUAAAAAAUUUUAAGUGAUUUUUUGUAUUUUUAUCUUGUAUCCUGAUACCUCGCUGAACUCACGUAUUAGUCCUAGGACUUCUCCAUACAUCUGCACUAGUGACAGUUUUCUUUCUUUCUUUCCAGUCUACAUGCCUUCUGUUUCCCUUCCUUGCCUUAUUGAACCAGCUAUAACUUCCAGCACUAUGGUGAAUAACAGUGGUGAGACCAGACAUCCUUGCCUUGUUCCCAUUCUUAGGGGAAAAAUGCUUAAUCUCUCAUCAUUAAGUAUAAUAUUAUACUUACGUUUUUUUGUAGAUGCUCUUAAUCAAGAGAAUAAGUUCUUCAUAAGAGCACAAGUUGAAAAAUUUUCCCCUCUAUCACUAUAUCUCUGAGAGUCUUUAAUCAUAAAUGCAUAUUAAAUGUUGCCAAAUGUUUUUUUCUACGUCAAUUAAUAUGGUCAUGUGGUUUUUCUUCUUUAGCUUUUUAAUGUGGUAGAUUAUACUGAUUGAGUUUUGAUUAUUGUACCAGUCUUGAAUCCAUGGAAUAAAUCUCACUAGGUCACGACAUGUCAUUAUUCUUAUUGCCAAAUGCUCUAUUGCUAAUAUUUUGUAAGAAUUUUUGAGUCAUUGGGCGCCUGGGUGGCUCAGUUGGUUAAGCAACUGCCUUCGGCUCAGGUCAUGAUCCUGGAGUCCUGGGAUCGAGUCCCACAUCGGGCUCCCUGCUCGGCGGGGAGUCUGCUUCUCCCUCUGAGCCUCCGCUCUCUCUAUCUCAUUCUCUCUCUCAAAUAAAUAAAUAAAAUCUUUA